rnacentral:lncRNA from 1 species
CUUGGAGUCAAAGCUAAAAUCUUUCCUCUGUCUUGCAAGUCCCUGCACAAACAGCACCCACCCCUCUCCCCAGUUCCACCUCAUCUUCUAAAAGGAGGACCCUUGUCCACACAGCCAUAGCCAUUCUGGCCUUGUUCUUCCACAGAGAAACCAGGCAAAAACCUACCUACCCCAGGACCUUUGCACUGACUUUCCUGUGCCGGGAGCACCUUUCACUCAGAUCCACUUGGCCAAAUCCAGCUGUCUUCAAAUCUUCACUCAAAUGGUCCUGCUCAGGAUCCUGGAGCUUGUGGUUUUCCUCUGGUAUGGGUACAGAUUGAGUCUCUCAGGUGUGUCAGCUCCUGUGCAACUGGGAACCUGUGGAUUUAAAAGAUAAAACAGUGAAGGAAAAGGAACCAGAGGACACAGCUCCCAUGCACAUCCCAAAAGUGGAGAGGAGAGGCAAAAGGUAGGCACUGCUCAUGGCAGUUCUGAAACCGAGGCACGCACCUGUCAUCAACCCUCUCUGCUCCUGAGUCAGGGAACAUUCCUCACUUGGACCUGGCUCUGCUCCUUGAGACUAUCUCUCCAGUCAGUUGUUUUGGUUGGCUUUUAAAUUCACCUUUAAGCUCCUGACUCUCUCCAUUGAGUUCUUUCUUCUUCCC